rnacentral:lncRNA from 1 species
UGUUGGGAGUCACAGUGAAAAUCACAGCAACAAUGUGUAGAGCAGUUAUAUUAUAUAAACAAGAGUAGGCCAACGAAACCACAACAAUAUAGCAUGCACGAAGAUCGUAUACACAAUAAUCAGUGACUGAUAAAUUACGAGAAAAGAAGAGAAAGGCGCACCUUACACCGUCGCUAGAAUUAGUAUACAGAACAGCUGAGUCGCCUAGCCCUUCGAUGAAGACUAGACUGUUCUUG